GCAGGUUUUAGGAAGCAAAAGCAAGCUGCAGCCAAGCUAGCUGAGUGUCAUGGACACACGGUGUGAGGGUAAAUCUGGCCCCCGUUCCUCCAUCUUGGCUGGAAGUGGAAGUCCCGGUGGAUAUUUUUGAGCCCCUGAUGUAUGCCAGGCACUGCUGUAAGCACUGAGUAUUCAAAGAUGAACAAAAUGAUGUGGCCCCAGUCUCCUAAAAUUUACUAUCAAGAGAAGAAGACAACAAGUAAAUAAAUACACAAAAUGAUUAUAGAUGGUCAUGCAUGCUAAGAAGUAACCAUGGACCAACAUGAGAAUAGUGGGGACAGGAGUUGCUGCACACUAACAGGUGAGGUAAAGUCUGAAGAAGCAGCCAGUCAUAUGAGGAGGAGGAGGAGGACAAGCAUCCCAGUCACGGAGAACAACUGUGCAAAGGACGUGAAAAGCUUGGCAUGCUCUAGGCACGCUCUAGGCACAGAUGGAAUGAAGCAUCUGUUGAAAUGGAGGUGCCACAGAUGGAAGCAACCAUGGCACAGAGGGCAGCUUCCCCAGAAAACUGCCCAGACUCACAGAGGUCUUUGUGGGAGGAAGGAAUAAACCUAUGUAAAGCUCCCGAGAUUUUGGCAUUGCUUAUUACUGCAGCAUAACUUGGUCUGCUCCAGCCAACGGCAGCAUCAAGACGUGUUUGACUUGAGCAAACUUAAUAUCUGAUUUUGAUAAAUAUCAGUCUGAAAAGAAAACGAUUCCU
rnacentral:lncRNA from 1 species